UACGUAGGGUGCAAGCGUUAAUCGGAAUUACUGGGCGUAAAGCGUGCGCAGGCGGUUUUGUAAGUCUGUCGUGAAAGCCCCGGGCUCAACCUGGGAAUGGCGAUGAAGACUGCAAGGCUAGAAUCUGGCAGAGGGGGUAGAAUUCCACGUGUAGCAGUGAAAUGCGUAGAGAUGUGGAGGAACACCGAUGGCGAAGGCAGCCCCUGGGUCAAGAUUGACGCUCAUGCACGAAAGCGUGGGGAGCAACAGG
rnacentral:rRNA from 1 species